GCUUACGGCCACGCCGCCUGGUUCCACGCACGAUCUGCGUUUGAUCUCGGAAGAUAAGAUAGGGUGGGCCUGGUUAGUACUUGGAUGGGAGACCGCCUGGGAAUACCAGGUGCUGUAAGCU
rnacentral:rRNA from 1 species